ACGGGGAAGGAUGAGAAGCUUCGACUAAGGUUCGACUCGAGCGAAGCGAGAGAACGUUGCCGCAGGCAAUGGCCCGAAGGCGAGGCGCUUUAGCGCCGAGUAAUCCUUCCCCCACCACUG
rnacentral:sRNA from 1 species